CCCUCCUCCACAGCCAGCGCUUGCUCUGCCACAAAAACCGAAAGCAAAAGUAGAAGACGUUUUGAGUGUCCAGACACGAAUUUUUCGUGGUCCUUUCGAGGCAACAUUGGAUUAUCUUUUGUCAUUUUAAUAUUUUUUAUUAGUAUUAUUGUUAUAAGCGAUGGAGCUCCGCAGCAUGCCUUCGGAUAUGACACUGAGGACCUGUCCUGAUGAGUGGACCAUGCACCCCAGGGGGCCUCUGUAGUCUCUAUACACCUGGAAGCUUUUUUUUCCUUUUUUCUGUACUUUAUCUGGCUCAUUUCCAAUGCUGGCAAAUUAAAAGCAUUCCUUGAAUGCCAAAAGUUACUUUUUUGCUGGAAUGGAUCUGUGUCUGUGGGCUUUCUGACAUCUCUGAGAUUAUUGGUCCAAACUGGAAAGACCUGCUUUUGGAAAGUCCUGUCAUCUUCCGUGCAAGUCAAUGUGUUUAUAUGCAGAAAAAGAGAGACCGCUUCAUAUGAAACCACUCCCACCUCACUUCCACAGCUGCAACAGAUAAUAAAUUGGAUUAUGUGCAGCGAACUCUUGAGAAGUUUCAUGCAAAACUCAAAAAGCACCUCCCUUUUAGAGCCUCCAGUAGAUAACAGCUUAUUAUGAAUAGGAUGGACUGUAGUAAAGACUUCAAGGCCUGUUUCCAAGGACACCACCAUGCCACAAUUCAUGCAUAAUGGAAACUAGAACUUUUUCAAGAAAUGUCAACAAUUAUCGGAACCUUACCUUAGAUGUGACAACCAAAUAAGGCAAUGUCAGAUGUUUGAUUUUCGAAUGACCUUUUCUGUUUUCAUAUGUAUAACACUUAUUUAAUACACAUUUAAGAAGGCUUCUGUUUAAAAUGUGACUCAACUUGAAAUGAUGUAUUAUACUGUACAUUAAGUGCAAAUGUAAUAAAACACAUUCUUUACAAAAACAACUCCCUUUUCAUUGUGAAAAUAGUGCGUGAAAAUAGUGAGUGAAUCCAACGUGUCCCUAAUGUUAAGAUCAGUUAAUAAGGACAGAUUACAGUGAAAUAUUCUUAGGGAUAGAUACUAUUAAGCUGUUUCAGUUAACCUGAUUCACUGGAAAGGUACGGUGAAAUUUAAAAUUCUAUAUUAUUGUAAUUAAAAUUGAAAAUGGCAUCUUGCAUUCGGCAAAAUGCAAGAGCAAAAAAAAAAAAAGAUAACUAUUAGGUAAAAUAAUUGAAAAUAAAAAACCUACCAUUUGCCCUGUUGCAGAAGUGUGCACACCCUUCAUAAUCGGGGCUGUAGCUUUGUUCCAGAGUUUACAGAUCAAAAUGAUGUCCAAAAAUAACAUCAAUAAAAGUAAAAUAAACCAGUUGUUCCUAAUGUUUUCAUGAUUGCAUCCUUCUGGGAUAACUACAGUCCAUGAGUAGCUGACAAAGCAUUUAAAUAAUCUCACAGAUUACAGAUGAGGAGAAUGGUAUAAAAAAGAUACACCACAGAGAAUCGUAAAGACUUCCAUCAAUAGAUGGAAAAAAGUGGCAUCACAGGGGGACUAACAAGGUCAGGAAAAUCAUCAAAAGUUGAUGACAGGAAAAGAAGAAAACUUAUCACGCUACCAAGAUGCCUACAGGAACAUUGAAAAAGCUUGAGGAAAUUCUGGCAGGUACUGGGCAAACUUACCAAAUAUCCCCCAAAUUCUACACGAGUGA